UACUUUUCAAUAUAAAAAAUUGAAUGGAAGUUUGAUAAAAAUCAAAUAGAGAAAAUUGAAAUAUUUCUUCCAUACCCAACAACCCCCUAAUGAGCUUCAUUUUUAAUCCUUUUCUAUCGAACCCGAACGAAAGUUGAGAAUCUUCAUCAAUAAACAGGGGGAAAUUGUAGUACUGCUCACUAGGUACAAAUAAUUCAUCUGGGCUGAUGGAGAACACAGUGCCGAUUUCCACUACUGCUCCAUCAAACUCUAGUACUGGCAAUCGCCGAUCACAGCCACGCUACUUGUACUGUAGCUGCUUCAGGCGCUGCUGCCGCUGUUUCUGCUGCUUCUACUCCUAUCCAUGAUUCGUUGAUCAAAUUCUCUUGACUGCUUGUAAAUAUACGGUGUCUUUUCAGUAUAUAAAAGUGUUGUAUAGUUUUCGCUUUGUAUUAUACUUUUCGCCCUUUUGUUGAAUAAAGAAUCAAUUGAUGAUCUAUAGCUUUUGUUGGCUAAAGUGAAUUAGUUUAUGUGUAGUUGUAGAAUUAGGAAACAAUUGAUGAUUUGUAUGUGCUAUUCGUAUUAGUGGCUAGUUUAAUUGUUUUCAUGUGAAGGAAAAUUGAGAUGACAGAUAUAUUAUGAGUUACUUGAAUUUGUUGAUAAUCAUGUAUUAUGAACAAGCAUGUGAAACUUAGGCCUUUUUGGUGUGGCAACAUGUUUUCCUUUGUGAAAUUCUUUUAUGGUGUUUGGUUGCUGAAAUUGUUGGAAAUAAUUUACUAAUUAAGUGUGUGCAACAUCUUCUACUUCCUUCCUACUCCAUUGAAAACUUGCUACUGUUGAGGCAACUGAUUUUCUUAGCAUAGCAUUUUUCUGCGUAAAAUAUGAGCUUUUGGAAUUUUCUUACUUUGUACCAAACAUGGCUUUGCUCCUUUUACCUGAAAAAGAUGGAUGCUGAAAAUGAGAAUUCAGGACUGGUGACUACUUGAGUUGUAUGGUCUCAUGUGCUUUUGGUUAAGAAAUCUCCGUACCCAAUUAAAAUUAUGUAUCAAAAGAUUUCUCUAACUUCUGGGAUGUUUGUCUGUUUGUAAAAGUAAGUAUGCUAUUGCUAUAUACACCCACUCUAUACAUUUGGUAUGGUAUAAGAUUCACUGUCCUGAAUAAAUCCAAAAAUUGUUGAAUUCGACAAGUGAUUCCAUCGUUUCUGGUUCAAUAAGAGACAAAUUGUCCGGGCAUGGUCUUUUAAAUGAGGAAUCAAGCCAUUACUUUGUAAUUGCUUUAUAUAUGUGAAGAAUUUCUUGCCUGCAUUGGUUACAUGCUAGUGGAGGGCAUCAUUAAAUAGAAGAAAAAUGAAGUGUCCAAUAAUUAUGUGAAGGUUUAGAGCAGUUAUGUGACUUCAGAAAAAAGUGUCGAUGUAUGUAGUGUGGAUACAAGCACAUAUCAGAAGUUAUGUUGAAGAUAGAAGAUGGACGACAUGCAUACAUGACCUAGAAGGCAUCUAUUAGCUGCUGAGGUAUCUGCUCAAAGAUUUUUCCAGAGGCAGUGUGUUGAUAAAUUGCAUACUUGUGAACUGGUGUAAGUCAUACUUGAUUUGACUGAAUAUAUCAAUACUUUAUGUGACAGUUGCAGGAGAAGGGCAUAAAAGUCCACGAGACAGAACGGAUAUUGUCAAACUCUACUGGCAAGAUCUUUUUACAUGCAAUGCAUGAAUCAUACUGAUAUUCUUAUACGACGAGCUGAAAAUUUUGUGCAAUUCAACCUCCUUGUUAGCUUUCCUUGCACAACCUUUCUCCCUUGUCUAUAUCUCACUGUUAUAUGGUGUAUAAUUGUCCUAGAACUCAUAGUCAGCCAUCUUUAUUGCCUAGUCGUCUUAAUGUUCAUAAUGAGCAGAAAUAUUAAUAUGGAAACGUAAAGAUAUGACUGUUGAAUCUAAUUCAACCCCAAAAGCAAGCUCAUGAGGAGAAGAUCGCUCAAGUCCAUAUAAGUAGUCCAUCUGCUCAUUCUCCACCCAAUGUGAGAUUCUAAUCCAUUCUUACACCUUCUUCACGCCCAGACUCAACUUGAGCCUGGACUAGGAGCUCAAACGAGGGUGGAACUGUCUUUGAUACCAUGUGAAAUAUAACAUUUGAGGCUAAUUCAACUCUUAAUGCAAGUUCAUGAGGGGAGGAUUUUGUCCAAGUUCAUAUAAGUAGACCGCCCGUCCAUUCCCCAAUCAAUGUAAGACGCUAACCCACUAAAUAAAUCGAAAGUGGUAUUUUUAGGGAUAAAGGUGCAAAGGUGUGACAGGAAGCAUAUUGUUGAAUUCAUUCAAGUCUGUCUCUCUUAUGAAUGCAUGAACGCUUUGAUCUGUUAUGUGAGUACUCAUUAAUACACUCAUCACUUUUAAUUUGACCCUUCUUGCCAUGCCAGUUAUGAACUGUGUGCAUUUACUUGCUUUGUGGUCCUCUCCAGUUCAAUCCUUGCUGGUUGCUACUGAUGAGUUGCCAAAUGAAUUAAGGAAUUCUUUUUGACACUUAACACGUCACAGGGGAUCCUUGUAGCAUGAUUAAAGUCUUGGUACAACCUAUAGAUCACAUAUUCGAGUCGUGGGAUUCAGCUAGCUAGGUUGACUGUUACAUUACACUCCUUGAGGCUCUAAAAUAUAUCAGACUUCGACAUCAGGUUGGGGAAUAUAAAGAAAAAAAACAUCAUUUUUCGAUGUGUUAGUUGGACUUCAAAGCAUAUCUAAAUUUGUAUUAGCCAGGCUCUAAAAUGUAGUACACUUAGACAUCAGGUUGGAAAAUAAAAAGAAAAAAAGUGUGUUAUGAGAAAAAAUAAUUAUAAAAUUGGUCAAAUCAUGACACCUCCAAACUAUAUUAAUUAAAAAAGAUAGUGUCAUCCAAUCAUAUACGCUUAGACUUAUAA